UUCCGCUUCCACUGCUGUGAUGCUAGCUGCCUUCCCACAGUCUUUAUUCAUAAUGUCGCUAAUGAUAUUGGUAGAUGGCCAAGGCGAGGAAUUUACAGUAGCCGAGAGACCUUACGUGGUCUUACUGAAGCAAAAUUUAGUCGCGCUGGGGAGCGUCCUCGGCGUCCUCCUGCUGCUGAUGAUCAUCAUGGCGGUGUGCGUCUACAAGCCUCUACCCAGGCGCUGAGCGUGUCCUCGCUCCUCAGUCACGGAGACAAAGGACUCCAAAAUCAAUAACUUGAGGGGCCACUCAAUUGUCAUCAAAUCCACCCACCAGAGAAAGGUGGGCUUCACAAUGGCUGGAGUGGCACUGCCACUUGCCCAUUUAUUAGGGGUUUCCUUGAUCCCACCUCAGGCGAUAUACUGUAUAUUGUGUUUUCAAAUUUGACUUUUGUGUGUUUAUAUUAUUUAUCUGGAGUUAAGACUUAUACCAUAUGCGAUGAAAUGCAUCUCAUUGACCUCGUGAUGUAAAUGCACGUUUUGGUUGUUUACAAUGCUACCUGAGUCGUGUGUUGCUCAUUAAAUUUAAUAUGACCCAAUAGGAGUGAUUUUUAUUUUCGUUAAUAUUAUGAAGGUUUAACAAAGGUAUGUCUGCAUUCUCACAAAGUGCAUGAAGUCACAGACAAAAUAUAUGCAAGUAAAGUGCUUUAUUUUAGGAAGAUCUGUAGCUCAAAGAUCUCAGUUGACUGAACCAAAAGUUGUCCUUUAUUAAAAGGUUGGCAAACUGAUAUCGGCUCAUUUUUCAUCAUGUACCACAGAGGAUAAGAUUAGCUGAAAGCACUCAGGUUAGUGGUUGGUCAUAUAUGUAAAAUAACUACAUUACAGUGGUUAUUCAACAUCACGAUGGGUACAACUUGCUUCCUAUCGGAUAAGGAAAUAAUCAAAAGGUUUUGGGUGGCAAAACAAACUUUCCAUCAAGUAACAGACAAAGUGUCUGUUGGCACAUGCUGAAAGAAAACAAAUGAAUGAAUCGGAUCCUGAUGUGGCCUGCACGCACUCAAGAGGUUUGAAGUUGUUUGUGGCUACAGGAGGAACAAUCAAGUCAGACUGCCUUCAGGAAUAUGGAGACUGCUUGCACAGGACUGCACCCUGCACAGGCUGCUGUUGCAUUUUUGAACGGAGGCAUUAUUGCUGGUGUUUG